AAAUGGUGUUUUUGAGUUCUAAGUGUCAAAUCCUUUUUGUUCUUUAGAAGGUUGUUCUCAAGUUCUUCGUGUGCAUUGCACAUCAUUUCGUAGGUCAUCAAAGACCUGAUAAGUUCUUCGAGUAGAAAGUUGUUCAAGUCCUUCGCUUCUUGAAUUACAGUUACUUUAGGAUCUUAACUCUUUGGAAGCGAUCUUAAUAUCCUAUUAACAAGUUCAAAAUUAGAAAAAC
rnacentral:lncRNA from 1 species